rnacentral:rRNA from 1 species
GAUGAACGCUGACAGAAUGCUUAACACAUGCAAGUCCACUUGAACUUCGUUUUGGGUGUCGCACGUGUGAGUAACGCGUAAAGAACUUUCCUCACAGAUAGGGACACCAUUUGGAAACGAAUGCUAAUACCUGAUAUUAUGAUUUUAUGGCUUCGUAUAAUUAUGAAAGCUUUAUGCGAUGUGAGAUAGCUUUGCGUCCCUUUAGCUAGUUGGCGCGGUAACGUCUCACCAUGGCGAUGAUGGGUAGCCGGCCUGAGAGGGUGAUCGGCCACAAGGGGACUGAGACACGGCCGUAACGACUACGGGAGGCAGCAGUGGGGAAUAUUGGAGAAUGGACCAAGAGGCGGAGAAAGCAAUUCUGUGUGAAAGAUGAAGUUUUUGGGAAUGUAAAGGGUUUGCAGUUGGAAAGAAAAAAAUGACGGUACCAACAGAAGAAGGGACGGCUAAAUACGUG